rnacentral:lncRNA from 1 species
AAAAACAACCAACCACAACUUUAGAGGGAUAAAAGUUUCGCAUGAAUCCAAACUAGAAUCUGGUUUGCCUCUUAGCAGGCCUUUUUUUUUUUUUUUUUUUUCUGUGAUAGACUCUUAGCAGGCCUAUUCACUGCCUUGUUUGCCAACCUCAGCUUCCAACAGCAAGAAUUGCCAUACCCAUAGUAAGAUGAAAGACAUCUGUCAAGUUCUGAACUAUAAUCAUAUGGCCAUAGCAUCUCUUUUCCUUUGCUGGAUCUCUCAAAAAAUAUGAUGGUUAUAUCUUAGAUCUUCUUAGGAGCCAAAAUCAUUAUAUCAUGGUUCUCCUUAGGAGCACCAAAUGACUGUAGGGUUUCAUAAUCUGAAGUAAUCAUUGGUGUUGACCUUCCUAGCUACCAACCAUGGGAGAAGUAUAGUUCUUAUGAUAAUUUUUUUUUGGCCCAUUUUUUUUCCUCAUACUGUGAGUGAGUUUCUGACAUGAUGUGGUUUUUUGACUUGUUAGACAUCUGAUUUCCUUGUGGCUAUGCUUCAGCAAUUGUGUGUGGCUGUGGCUGUAUAAAGUGAUGAAUGCAAACUGGAAUUUCUUUUGAAAUAUGUUUUGUUUUCAUUUGUUUGUCGUUCACCAAUCUCCUCAGUCUUCCCGAGGUGUACGGGAUAGCUUAUGAUUGCUUUAAGAAUAAUGAUUUCUAUACUUUUCUUGACUCUAAGAAAUAAGGAGAAAAGGGAAUGUUAGUUUUGGUAGACAAGCACCUCCUCUUCACUUGAUGAGGAAGCAUGAGGAAAAUGUUUCAUAGUGUUUUUAUUUCUCUUUUGCUGUUGUGUAUGUAAGUCUCUUACAAUUAAGGAAAAGGAUGGAGCAUAACUUACCCCUAGUUUAUGCUAUGUAUGCAAACUCAGUUUCAGUCUUUCAAUUUUUUUUGUCUCUCUUUGAUAGGCAAGUUUGCAGUAAUGCUUACACUUGAAUGUAUCUCAAUGGCUAAAUCCUACAAGGGAUGGUAUAGUAAUAUGCAUGGCAUAGAUUUUUCUUUUAAUUGAACUUUAAAGUACGGCCUUAGGUUUUUGAGAAGUAUAUUCGUGUCUGUUUUUCUGUUUUUGGUUAAGUGUUAGUGUCUUUAAAAAAGACUACCAUUUGGUUGGUCAGCCUAUCUUCUGAAGAUGUGGAUUUUGUUUUGUGUCAGUUUGGGGUUAUUCGUUUUCAUUCUUCUGCACCCCCUCACUCUGUUUUCAUUUUUAUUUAUCUCCAGGUACUUGUGAUAUAAUGGGUGGUCUUCCUACUGAACAGCCCGCCUCUGCCUUAACUUUGGCAGGGUUGCAGCAAACGCGGGGAUCUGAGCCUGUGUCGAAGCCCAAAAAGAAAAUCUGCUGUGCCUGCCCUGAUACUAAGAAGAUCCGAGACGAUUGCAUUGUGGAGCAUGGUGAAGCUGCUUGUGAAAAAUGGAUUGAAGCUCAUCGUAGAUGCCUUCGGGCUGAGGGGUUCAAAGUUUGAAAUUUGGCAAAAGAUUGCAGAUUUGAUAAACUGAAAAUGAAAAAGUUUUGAUACCCAAAUUGUUUACAUCAGGAUUUUACUUAAAUGGUCAGACUUGUCAAUGAAACUUCAGGUUCAGGAAUAAAGCCAUGCUGGGGAACUUUGUUUACUGUUACAUUGAAAUAAUUGAUUACUAAUUUAUUCUUAACUAUAGGGGUUGUUCCCCCUUACAGAAAUGAUGUGGCAAAGAUGCUUUGAUCAAGAAUAAUAGUAUACCCCUAGAGAAUAAAUUUGCGAAAUCAAUAGCCUAUUCUUUUUUGCUAGUCUUUUUUUUCUUUGUUCUUAAUCUGUGCAUCUCAUUUUAUCACAAAUUCCAUUUUAUUUUGAUCUUUCAUGCUUUUAAGACACUAUCAGGAUGUUGCGUUUGAAAUCUAAACUCUAGCCAGCAAAAUGAAGAUCAAGGAGACUUAUGAUAUGUUUGGGAAGCAAAUUGAGGAAUAAUUGGCUCUCAAUUCCAGUCAAAGCUGAUCUAUGAUGUCCCAAUUGGGCAGCUUUUGUGAUUAUAAGCUUUGUGAACACUGUAAUUUUCACAGAAAAGAUGAGUGGUAUCUUUUGAUACCAGAGCCCUGGACCACUUUCAACUUCUCAAUUUUCAAGUUAGUGUUGAUGUUCAAGAAAAUUUCAUACUCAAAUUUCAGUGGUAACUGGGUCUUCUGAACAUCUUUUUUUAAGCGUAUAUCUAUCUGGGUUUUUGAGGAUAGUCCAUGCUAGAUCCUUGCUUCCUCCUCUUAUUUAGAUGGUUGUUUUUAGGGUUUUCAUGGAUGAUCCACAAAUGUUGAAAGCACAGUUUUUCAUGUUGUCAAGCCAUUAAUAACAACCCAUUGGCCUGAGUUGGGUUGGAUGAUCUUACCAUUGAAGAACAACAAAAUGAAAGUUUAUGCUAUGACAAAACUUCCUUUCCUGCUAUAUUUUACUCUCCAACAACCUCAUCUAUUCAAACCCCAACUUCACAGAACUAUAGAAAAUGAAGAGAGAGACAGAAGGAGAAGAUGAUAUACUAGUAAUGGUAGAGUUUCAUUUAUCCACGCAACUGAGACACAGACCAGGCCUUGGAGACAUGGCCAUGGAGAAAACACAUUUGACACCAAACACCAAACCUCAAGCCACAAGUGAUAAUACAAAGGACACAAACUUAAUUAUUUGACACACAAGUACACAACCAACGUUAUUCUUUAAACCCUCAAAUGCAAUUCCUCCUAUAUCAUCAGCCAUCACAUCUUAUUCUUUCUUAUAUCAUGUGCUUACUGGCCACAGGUGCAGUCAAUACAGGCGCAGCUAUCACCACACUUGCAGCUGCCCUCGUGCUGGGCUGCUGGAACCUCCAUCACAACGGUCGCAACAUAGCUGCAAAAACACAACAACACCCAUUAUCAUCAUCAUCAUAUCUUCUUUCAUAGAAAACAAAAACGGAAGAAGAAGAAGAAGAAGUUGUUUUCUUCCUUGAAAUAUAUUAGGGUUCUUGAAGUACUGCAGGAGGGUUUUAGGUUUACCUCUUCUCGGUCUCUACGAUGUCGAUUCCAUAGCUGUUUCCCUUCUUCCUGAAAUCACACAAGAUUUAUUAGUCCAUAGCAACCUUUGUUAUGGAAACAUUGGCAGAACCUUGAUGCUGGGUAGCCAUGAAAGCCAUGCAUAAAUACAAACGCUAGUAUUGAACCAGUAAGAGUAUAUGGGGCACUUACACGCACUGGCUCUUGUCAGCGCAGUCGCAGUUGCCGCAGGUCGACAUGGUUGAACGUAAAAACUGGGGAAAGUCGGAAGUAAGACAAGGGUGUUUUUAGAUGGGUUUGUGGGUACUGCUUGCUUGCUAUGCUAUGCCUCCAAGGAGUGAUAUUUAUAGGUGGAGGGAUGGAGAUGAUAAUGGAGAGUGGUGGGGCAGAGGCCAUGAGAGGAGCACACGCCUUUCGCCGGAAGCAUCCGAAGGAAUCUUGAUAAUGGGAGGUGGUGGCCUGUUAUGCUCCUCUCACGUCAACUUCAUUUCUCUUCUGCACAACAUGCCUUUCUGGAGAUAUACAUAUCUUCCGUCUUCCCUGAUCCAUCCAUAAAACGGCCUCUCAGCCCCACACUCCUCACAGUCGGCUUGUGGCACACGCCACCAUGACAUCUCGAUCACAACCCUUCUGAGACUGAUUUUGAGAGGUUCAUACUAUGCUUCCUCGAAAAAUAUUAAGCCCCUAUUUGAUAAUUUUACUUUAUUUUAUUUUUUUAAUUUAGAAAACACAUUUGGUAAACUUAUGAUCUGAAAAUAAUUUUUUUUUCUAUGAAAUAAUGUAAUUUAAAAAAUAUUUAAUAAUAUUUUUUAUAAGCGAUAUUAAUAAAAAUAUUACAUAUUAAAAAAAAUUAAAAUAACUGUCAAAUAGACUCUUUUAGGCUUAUGACAUUGAUCGAGAUAUCAAUCAUUUGUGAUUAAAAUUUGUUGCAUACCGUAGUUGCUUAAUUAAGCUCAAGGAAACUUUGAUGGGAUUGUGCAAUUAUGAGGAAGAAAGCGAUGCUUAGACAAAUUGAGCUAAAUGAUUUUUGCUAAGAUUAGCUGUUAACAGGCCAUGAAGCAAAAUCAUGUUGUGCUUGUCUCUAUAAGCUAUAGUUUUUAAUAUGCAACUUGCAUUUGUACUUAUCUGGAGGAUCAAAUCCUCUUUUUGACUCCUUUUUUUUUUUUUUAAUAUAUAUAUAUAUAUAUAUAUUUUAUAAUAUGAUUAUUAUUUGGAUGGUGUCACACAUAUCAUCAUUCUUUUACCAUCUUAUUAUAAAUAAAUUAUGAUUAAAUAUAAAAAUAAUUUAUUAAAAUUGAUUAAAUACUUCUUACAUUUAUGAAUUUAUUCUUUCAUAUGUUUUUGUUCAAAGAAUAACUAAUUUUUUUACAUAAAUAUUCUUAACUAUUUUAAAUAUUUAAAAUAUGUUUUUUUUAAAUAUUAUUUUUAUAAAAAAUUUAUCAAAAAAAAAAAAAAGAACAAGGGGAUAAAUUUUCGAAAUUGACACCCUUUUAAUGAAAUGACCUUAGAAUAUAAUAAAAAAAUUUAUAUCUAUUUAUUGAUAUUAAAUAAUAUAUGUAUAUAAGGUAGACAUAUAAUAUAUUAAAAAUAAUGGUGAUAAAAGGUGACAUGAUGUACAUUUUUCAUUAUAAUUUUGUUGUUAAAUUUAUUUAUUUUUUAGUUUUUAAAUUGUAAAAUCAUUGCAUAUAUCCCACCAUUAUUCCAGGAUAUUAUCAGUACACCAGGGCACAAAUGCCAAUGAAUCCCCACCACCAAAUGUCAGGCUUCCCACAUCCCUUUUGAAAUAUCACAAAUUUCACUGAUUCCCAGAAGGGAUUGGCUCAAACUGGAAUGGAACACAAUUUUAAAGAAAUAGCAAAAAGAUUUGUUUCAACUGUGAAAGAUAUGGUUGGUUUUAGAAAAAAAUACUAAAAAUUAAGAAUGAAAAUUAAUUUUUCUUUGAUUUAUGACCAAAAAAAAUUUAAAAUUAAAUAAAAUUUCAUAUAUUUUAAAAUUAUUUAAAAUUUAUAUAAAAUAAAAAAAUAAAUUUAAAUAAAUAUGUAAACAUAAUAUAUUGAUUUAAAAUUUAUUUUUUAUUUUUCUUUCAUUUUUUUUUUCUCAUUUUCAAAAGAAAAAUAUGGAUGGAAAACUAGAGAUAUUGUUAACAAAUGUGAAAUUAAAGCAAACAAAAACUUUAUUUGGUAGCCAACCCUUUGAAAUCCUCUAUUUUCAAGCAAAGCACAGCCUUACAUGCAUCCUUUCAAUCUUUCUAUCACCAAUGCCAACAAAAAAUCAUGCGUGUCCUCUUCAUUUUCCCCUCCACUCUCUCUUCCAAACAUGUCCAUAUCAAAAUUCUAUGCGAUAUCCAUGGAGAAAAAGAAGAAUGAAAAGAGGAAACAAAGAAAAAAAAAAAAAAGAUCUGAGUCUUAUUCAACCAACUCAAUGAGUUAAGAGCAAUAUAUAACUCACUCGGAACAUAAGGUGGGAGGAGGCUAUAGCAAUAAUGGAAAAUGAAUGGAGGGUCGGUCCCCUCCUUCCCCAUGAAAGCUGCUUCCAUACCUCUGCCUGGAUAUGAUUGCGAUCGAUCAAUCGAAAAGACUGGAAAAGAUGAGAAUAGCUGACAUUUUAAAGCUUGGACUGGAAAGAAGGUGAGCCCAAUCUCAUGUGAGCUUCACAACAUGUCAAGAGCUCAGUUGUCUGAACCCCAAAACCACAAGUGUUCAACCACUUGUCAUGGGAUUGUCUGGUCAUCAUUCAAGAAAUCAAUACCAUUCAAACAAGUCAAACGUUCCCAAAGAAGAAAAUGACUGAAAAAAUCGAAACGAAACAACCACCAUGGCACCUUUUGAGCUGAAAAUUCUAAAGAUUCAAAAUCUAAAUGGAGCCUUCAGGAAUUAAAGCUUGAGAAAUGAUCCAUCCAGAGAAGAAAGCACAAGAAGUUCCUAUAAAAUUGGACACUACCCAUAUUCUCCUCAUGAAUAAAAUCUGAGAGUAAUAUAUUUGAAUUGAACUAAUUUCCAGUACAGGUUUUGAAUGUUAAUCAGGACUGUAUGACAACUUUGGAGAUUUACCUGUUAGGAUAGCCCAAUUGGUCAGGGCAAACACUGGGAAGUGUGGUCCCAAUAAGUGGCACAUGGUCUUGGGUUCGAAUCCUACUUGAUAUCCUGAAUUUACUCGGUGCUAGUUGUUACGAGGCAAUCAGCACCCCGAGGUUUAGGUAGAUGCACAUAUAUGUGACAAGGAGAAAGUCUAAAAGAUGAUUAUGACCUAAUAGCAUUGAAUCAAGAGAGUUUUAGCGUUAAAGAAAGCCUAAUACGACCAACCCUAAUUCGGAAUUCCUAUUAAAGUUCAUUACACCAUGUGUUUCUAGUUGCGGUAAUUAAUAUCAGAUGCACAACACUCCCAAAAGUUAUGAGACUCAGUGUGAUAUGUGUGUGAAGGUGUUCAUCAUAGUCACAAAAAUGAGAGAAGUACCAAGCCAGAUCAUUUUGAUAGGGCUAAGAAUUAAACGCACUUGAAUGGAAUUGAACUCCAAAUAAAUUUUAGGAGAAUGAAAACACAAAGGCUAUGUAUCCAUAGAUGGAACAUGUACAUUGUACAUUGAGUUUCUCAAAUCCUGAUGAAUUCUUUCCUACAUUCCCGCAAUCACAGAAGAUGAAACAAUGACACGAAAUAUCAGAGAGAGAAAAUGAUAUAUGAUAUAAAACAAGCAUAAGAAACAAAGCUGUGGUUCAUAAACCUGGAGGGCGGUAAGAGCAGCAUGUUUACAAACUGGUAUAACACUAAUAUCGGAUCAUGUCUUGAAGGCAAUCAAAGAAAUGAGAGAUUGCGAUUUUUUCUUUGCCUGAAUAAAUGGCCUCAGCCUCCCCACCAUG